rnacentral:lncRNA from 1 species
AGCACAGUGAGGUCAGCACCCAAGUUCCCCCAGACACUCCUUUGCAAAGGCAGAGGGGUCCCAGGCCUGCCUGUGCAGAGGGCUGCCCCAGAGGCUGAAACCCAGUGAUUAAGAACCCCUGCUGGACCUGAAUAAAUACAAUGCCUUACAUACCAGAUGGACAAUGUGGAUGCUGUUUUUCAUCUGCUGACAGUUAUCGCCGGGUUUUCCGGACGUGGACUGUCAGCCCGUGACUAAAGAAUAACCGGGGCGGGCCCGAGGGCGCGGCGAAGCCCUUGAGGUCUCUCAGGGUGAGCGCCCCUGGGUGGAGUUCCGAGGGGCCCGGGCGUAGGCGGCCGUCACCGCCGCGGCGAGCCGCGGAAUGUCCUGCCUGUGAGCUCCCUCGCCUGGACGCGAUGGAAGCCUGGCGGGGACCGGGGACCGCGCCGUCUUCCUGCCCGGGGGCGGGUGGGCGUAGUACCCGGCGCCGCGAUGGCGGUGGCGCUGUCGGGUCGCGCUCUCAACCCGCCCCGGGCUCCGGCGGGGUGGCGCCAGGCUGGAGGCCGUGGGAUUCCCGGACACCCUCCCCUUCCACAGUGGCUGGAGGAUUGAAGCCGAGACAGUGGCGAGAGGGGCGCACAGCCCAGCCCAUUCCCCAUCCCUGACGACUCCAGGACGAUCCCCUUCCCGGCUCCUUAUUCAUUCCCUGAGAUGCUCAAAGACCUGAUUUCCACUUUAACAUCCAAAUUUGGUGGGUUCUAGGAGGCCUGGGCUGGCUCAGUCCAGGGGCUGUUGACUCCUAUAACAACAGUAUCUGGCACACAGUAGGUAUGUGUGCAUCUGUUGAAUAAAUAAAAUAUUUGAACUGU